UAGGGGCCCCUACCGGGUUACCGAAUUCAGUCAAACUCCGAAUGCCGAUGACUUAUCCUUGGGAGUCAGACUGCGAGUGAUAAGAUCCGUAGUCGAAAGGGAAACAGCCCAGACCGCCAGCUAAGGUCCCAAAGUAUACGUUAAGUGGAAAAGGAUGUGGAGUUGCUUAGACAACCAGGAUGUUGGCUUAGAA
rnacentral:rRNA from 1 species